rnacentral:rRNA from 1 species
CCUACGGGCGGCAGCAGUGAGGAAUAUUGGUCAAUGGACGAGAGUCUGAACCAGCCAAGUAGCGUGAAGGAUGACUGCCCUAUGGGUUGUAAACUUCUUUUAUAUGGGAAUAAAAUGUUCCACGUGUGGGAUUUUGUAUGUACCAUAUGAAUAAGGAUCGGCUAACUCCGUGCCAGCAGCCGCGGUAAUACGGAGGAUCCGAGCGUUAUCCGGAUUUAUUGGGUUUAAAGGGAGCGUAGGUGGAUUGUUAAGUCAGUUGUGAAAGUUUGCGGCUCAACCGUAAAAUUGCAGUUGAAACUGGCAGUCUUGAGGACAGUAGAGGUGGGCGGAAUGCGUGGUGUAGCGGUGAAAUGCUUAGAUAUCACGAAGAACUCCGAUUGCGAAGGCAGUUCACUGGACUGCAACUGACACUGAGGCUCGAAAGUGUGGGUAUCAAACAGGAUUAGAUACCCUGGUAGUC